UGACCCGGUGGUGCGCGAUCCCAAAAGACCAAAGAACCGGGGAAAGAACCGAACCCGCCCCCGCCGCCCCCGUCACUCACUCGGCGGAGUGAAUAUGCCGGACGAAACUGGCGCGGCGGGGCAUUUGUGGUGCAGCGUCAGCGAUGCCAACCCGUAGACAUGCAUCGGCCCUCGCCGGGACUGGCAUCCCUGUGCGAGGGCCUGAUCACCAAGGAAGAAAUCAGGCUUCCCC
rnacentral:ncRNA from 1 species